GACGAACGCUGGCGGCGUGCUUAACACAUGCAAGUCGAACGGAAAGGCCCUGCUUUUGUGGGGUGCUCGAGUGGCGAACGGGUGAGUAACACGUGAGUAACCUGCCCUUGACUUUGGGAUAACUUCAGGAAACUGGGGCUAAUACCGGAUAGGAGCUCCUGCUGCAUGGUGGGGGUUGGAAAGUUUCGGCGGUUGGGGAUGGACUCGCGGCUUAUCAGCUUGUUGGUGGGGUAGUGGCUUACCAAGGCUUUGACGGGUAGCCGGCCUGGGAGGGUGACCGGCGACAUUGGUCCUGAGGGAGGGCCCAGAAGGCUACGGGAGGCAACGGUGGGGAGUAUUGCACAGUGGGCGGAAGCCUGAUGCGGAGGCGCCGCGUGCGGGAUGACGGCCUUCGGGUUGUGAACCGCUUUCGCCUGUGACGAAGCGUGAGUGACGGUAAUGAGUAAAGAAGCACCGGCUAACUACGUG
rnacentral:rRNA from 1 species